GUGCUCGCUUCGGCAGCACAUAUACUAAAAUUGGAACAAUACAAAGAAGAUUAGCAUGGUCCUUGUGAAAGGAUAACAUGCAAAUUCAUGAAGCGUUCCACAUUUUU
rnacentral:snRNA from 1 species